rnacentral:rRNA from 1 species
GAUGAACGCUGGCGGCGUGCCUAAUACAUGCAAGUCGAGCGAACGGACGAGAAGCUUGCUUCUCUGAUGUUAGCGGCGGACGGGUGAGUAACACGUGGAUAACCUACCUAUAAGACUGGGAUAACUUCGGGAAACCGGAGCUAAUACCGGAUAAUAUUUUGAACCGCAUGGUUCAAAAGUUAAAGACGGUCUUGCUGUCACUUAUAGCUGGAUCCGCGCUGCAUUAGCUAGUUGGUAAGGUAACGGCUUACCAAGGCAACGAUGCAUAGCCGACCUGAGAGGGUGAUCGGCCACACUGGAACUGAGACACGGUCCAGACUCCUACGGGAGGCAGCAGUAGGGAAUCUUCCGCAAUGGGCGAAAGCCUGACGGAGCAAUGCCGCGUGAGGGAAGAAGGUCUUCGGAUCGUAAAACUCUGUUAUUAGGGAAGAACAUAUGUGGAAGAAACUGUGCACAUCUUGACGGUACCUAAUCAGAAAGCCACGGCUAACUACGUG